rnacentral:rRNA from 1 species
GACGAACGCUGGCGGUGUGCUUAACACAUGCAAGUCGAACGGUAAGGCCCUUUCGGGGGUACACGAGUGGCGAACGGGUGCGUAACACGUGAGUAACCUGCCCUCAUCUCUGGGAUAACAGUCGUAAACGGUUGCUAAUACUGGAUAUGAGCUUGCAAGGCAUCUUGUGGGUUGGAAAGAUUUUUUUUGGUUGGGGAUGGACUCGCGGCCUAUCAGCUUGUGGGUGAGGUAGUGGCUCACCAAGGCUUCGACGGGUAGCCGGCCUGAGAGGGCGACCGGCCACAUUGGGACUGAGAUACGGCCCAAACUCCUAAGGGAGGCAGCAGGGGGGAAUAUUGCACAAUGGACGGAAGUCUGAUGCAGCAACGCCGCGUGCGGGAUGACGGCAUUCGGGUUGUAAACCGCUUUCAAUUGUGACGAAGCUUUUUUGUGACGGUAGCAGUAGAAGAAGCACCGGCUAACUACGUG